UGAGGAAUAUUGGUCAAUGGGCGUGAGCCUGAACCAGCCAAGUAGCGUGCAGGAAGACGGCCCUAUGGGUUGUAAACUGCUUUUAUGCGGGGAUAAAGUGGGGAACGUGUUCCCUUUUGCAGGUACCAUAUGAAUAAGGACCGGCUAAUUCCGUGCCAGCAGCCGCGGUAAUACGGAAGGUUCGGGCGUUAUCCGGAUUUAUUGGGUUUAAAGGGAGCGUAGGCCGUUUGGUAAGCGUGUUGUGAAAUGUAGGAGCUCAACUUCUAGAUUGCAGCGCGAACUGUCAGACUUGAGUGCGCACAACGUAGGCGGAAUUCAUGGUGUAGCGGUGAAAUGCUUAGAUAUCAUGAAGAACUCCGAUUGCGAAGGCAGCUUACGGGAGCGCAACUGACGCUGAAGCUCGAAGGUGCGGGUAUCGAACAGG
rnacentral:rRNA from 1 species